AACGCGAAGAACCUUACCAGGGCUUGACAUAUACAGGAAUAUGCUAGAGAUAGUAUAGCUCUUCGGAGCUUGUAUACAGGUGGUGCAUGGUUGUCGUCAGCUCGUGUCGUGAGAUGUUGGGUUAAGUCCCGCAACGAGCGCAACCCCUAUUAUUAGUUGCCAGCAUUCAGUUGGGCACUCUAAUGAGACUGCCGGUGACAAACCGGAGGAAGGUGGGGAUGACGUCAAAUCAGCAUGCCCCUUAUGACUUGGGCUACACACGUGCUACAAUGGAUGGUACAACGAGUCGCAAACCCGCGAGGGCAAGCAAAUCUCUUAAAGCCAUUCUCAGUUCGGAUUGCAGGCUGCAACUCGCCUGCAUGAAGCCGGAAUCGCUAGUAAUCGUGGAUCAGCACGCCACGGUGAAUACGUUCCCGGGUCUUGUACACACCG
rnacentral:rRNA from 1 species